ACCUGAGUAGUUAACUGUAACAGCUCAUGUUGUGGAUUCACCAUCUUUCCUAAGUAAUUCUGAUUUGGUAGAAGCAAUAGACAGCCGUUGCCUUUCUUUCUUCUCACGCAAGCACUCUCCGCACCAAUUAGAGAAAUCUUUUUGAUAUUUCUUCAUUUCUCUAAAUACUGAACUUCUACACCAAAGAAGUAGAUUGAUCCUAUGACCAGAUGUUGUGGCCCUGGCACCAUGCCUGUGACGACCACGAUGAAGCACAGCUCGGCCAGGGACAUGAGAAUAGUCAAAGAUCUCCUCUGACUGACUUCCAGUAUUUACAUGUUU
rnacentral:misc_RNA from 1 species